CGGCUCUUUGCAUUCUCCUGCCGCCCCUUUCCCGAGCGCCUGCGCGGGCACCGCCCUGCGUUCUUGCUCUCGCGGGCGCUGCGCGGCCUAAGGGACUCGGCUGCCGGCCUCCGGGUGCGGGGUGGGGGCGGGCUCUGACCUGGGGCAUCCUGGCCGCGUGAGCCGCGGGAUGGGGCCCGGGCCGCGGAGGAGGUGCCGCUGCUGUGUUCUUUGGUGGCGAGGGCGCUGCCCGGCCCUGCGCGGUUUCCAGCCAGGAAGCUUCGAGAAUCCUGGCAGUGUCCACGCGUCCGGUGGUUUCCGUGUCACUGUGGCUGCUCAGCGGGAGGCUGUUCUGGCCGAAGGAGGACUGCUCAGUUGUCUGGCGGGCAUUCCGCCUCGUGGUCCUGGUACCUUGGUGCCUGCAGGGGAUCAGCAGCCCGCGUUCCGUGGCACAGUGUUGUAACUCCAGCUUCCCCUCCCGCAAAUUAACCAGAGAGACGUGUGCUCACUGGAAAACGGCAUGUGCUUGGGGUGUUGGGAAGGAGGUGACUUCGCCUGUGAUGGACUUCCAGUGUGAGCACUGGCCAGGGUGACCAGGCUGACCUGCACCAGCCCUGAUCAAGAUGCAGAGGCCAGGAUGUGGGCCCAGCCCUGUGCAGGAGGCUGGCUGGAAUAAAGGUACAGAUACAGGCCUGCCCCCUCUGGGACCACUGGCACUCGGGGUGUUUGCAGCCUCAGAGCCCAGCUUUCCACAUGCCCACCUGCCCCCAGGGCCACAGCUGCAUCUCCUGCUCUGCUUUCAUUACAGGGAUGAGCAGGCUGGCAUUGGGGCACUCGCUGCCCCUGCCUGGGUAGUGCUGUGUAUUCCAGCCAGGGGCCACUGCCAGGACCACCCCUCCAUUUUCAUAUCGCGAUUCUUAAGUUCUGCCAUUGUGGUAUUCUGGUGGAAAAAAAAAAAACCGGUUGCUUGGCUGUUUUUGAACUGCCUGGAACCUAAGAUCCUGAAUUUUCCCCUCUAAGGGGGAAAAUAUAUAUGGAAAACGUUUAUUUUGAAAUACAGAAUGAAGUGAAUUAAAAGAUUUAA